AGAGUUUGAUCCUGGCUCAGGACGAACGCUGGCGGCGCGCUUAACACAUGCAAGUCGAGCGAGAACCCAGGCUUCGGCCUGGGGGACAGCGGCGAACGGGUGAGUAUCACGUGGGUAAUCUGCCCUUGGCAUCGGGAUAGCCCGGGGAAACCCGGAUUAAUACCGAAUGGCCCAGCAGCUCUUCGGAGCGGCUGGAAAAGGUAGCUUCGGCCUCCGGCCGAGGAGGAGCCCGCGGCGGAUUAGCUUGUUGGUGAGGUAACGGCUCACCAAGGCUCCGAUCCGUAGCUGGUCUGAGAGGACGAUCAGCCACACUGGGACUGAGACACGGCCCAGACUCCUACGGGAGGCAGCAGUGGGGAAUCUUGCGCAAUGGGCGAAAGCCUGACGCAGCGACGCCGCGUGAGGGAAGAAGGCCUUCGGGUUGUAAACCUCUUUCAGGAGGGACGAAGCCACUCGGGUUAAUAGCCCAGAGGGUGACGGUACCUCCAGAAGAAGGCCCCU
rnacentral:rRNA from 1 species